rnacentral:rRNA from 1 species
CCUACGGGCGGCAGCAGUGGGGAAUAUUGCACAAUGGGGGAAACCCUGAUGCAGCGACGCCGCGUGAGUGAAGAAGUAUUUCGGUAUGUAAAGCUCUAUCAGCAGGGAAGAAAAUGACGGUACCUGACCAAGAAGCCCCGGCUAACUCCGUGCCAGGAGCCGCGGUAAUACGUAGGGGGCAAGCGUUAUCCGGAUUUACUGGGUGUAAAGGGAGCGUAUACGGUUGUGCAAGUCUGGAGUGAAAGUCGGGGGCCCAACCCCCGGACUGCUGUGGAAACUGGACGGCUGGAGUGCAGGAGAGGUAGGUGGAAUGCGUGGUGUAGCGGUGAAAUGCGUAGAUAUCAUGAAGAACGCCGAUGGCGAAGGCAGCUUACCGGAGUGCAACUGACGUUGAGGCUCGAAAGCGUGGGGAUCAAACAGGAUUAGAUACCCUGGUAGUC